rnacentral:rRNA from 1 species
UACGGAGGGUGCAAGCGUUUAAUCGGAAUUACUGGGCGUAAAGCGUGCGUAGGCGGUUCGUUAAGUCUGUUGUGAAAGCCCCGGGCUCAACCUGGGAAUGGCAAUGGAUACUGGCGAGCUAGAGUGUGUCAGAGGAUGGUGGAAUUCCCGGUGUAGCGGUGAAAUGCGUAGAGAUCGGGAGGAACAUCAGUGGCGAAGGCGGCCAUCUGGGACAACACUGACGCUGGAGGCACGAAAGCGUGGGGAGCAAACAGG